UGCGGAUGUUCAGCAGAAGGGAUGAUCGGCCCCGGUGAGAGACUCUUUUGUGCCCUCCGUCUGUUUCAGUUGCACGUUGGGGUGCGGUGCCGUCCGUUUCAGUCUUGACGUGUUUUGCUGGUGGGGUUCAAGUUGAGGAUAUGUGGCUGUGUGAGGGACACGUUGCUCAGCCUGUCACACACAUGCAGGUAGCAGCUUUAGGCAGCUGACACACAGAAAAGUUCUGCUGAAUAUUGCAUCUACUGGAUCUUCUCUCUUGAGUGCAGGGACGUCUGUGCCCAGAUCACUGGAGGUCCAGCCCGCGUCCAGCUGUUAAACACAAGGAUAGUUAAACACAAGUCAUGAGGCGACACACCCAUCAUUUCCAUGGCAGGGAAAGAAGAGAGCCUCUGUCUAGCACUGGCCCACAACAAGAGUUUAUGAAAAAGGAACCCUAAAGCACACGUUGUCACCACCGCAGACUGAUUCAGUCUACUGAACGGAGCCAGGGGGCGGACAGCCGCUGCUCAGCCCCUGUGGCACAUCCAGGAGCGGUGGCAAACAACGGGCGUGACCCCCCUGUGGCAUGGAGACGAGGAGCAUCCGCAGGUCUUCGAGGCUGGCCCUCAUCUCCAAGUCCCUAAUCUUGUGCAGCACCGUGCCCAGCGAUGAAAGCUCCGGCCUUGAGGAGAAACGUACCGGGUACCGGCUGCCCCGGCAGGGGAUGCCACACUCCUCUGAGUUCACGGCAAACCCGGAACCUCCCGAGUGGGGCCCCAAUCCCCAGGAUCCAGGGAACGCAAAGGGCCCCAUGAGGAAGACCUUCAACAUCAAGGACAGUAGCAUCUGGAAGAUGUGUGUAUCUGCGGGUGAAGAAGGCUCAGGAGGCCAAGAACGCCCUGUAAACAAGGAGACUCCUGCUGACCAGGGCAACGAUAAAGGGGCAGGACACAGGUAGAGAAAUGCCAGGUGUUUCCAUGGUGACAGCCAAAGCCAGCACAAAUGAGACCUAAGCCAUUAUGCCUCAGAACCGAGCCUCUUAGGACCAAUGAGUGUUGCCGAUUCAGUAGACACCUGAGCAUGGUUUACAACGCUUUUGCACCUUUACAUCUCUCCAUGAACAGUGACCAUAAAGACAAGCCCCUCCCACUGAUUCAACAGCUUGUCAACAAUCUCUCGGAUGCUGUACCGCCUGCAGGAGCAGCUGCUACCAUGGCCCGCAGGGAGGUACGUCAGACACUCCCGUGUCAUCCAUCUUUAUAAGUGCAAAUAUGAACAGG
rnacentral:lncRNA from 1 species